CGACCGGCGCACGGGUGAGUAACGCGUAUGCAACCUGCCCGUUUCAGCGGGAUAACCCGGAGAAAUCCGGCCUAAUACCGCAUGUGGCCGAGGGGAGGCAUCUUCUUUCGGCCAAAGGAGGCGACUCCGGAGACGGAUGGGCAUGCGUGACAUUAGCUUGUUGGCGGGGUAACGGCCCACCAAGGCGACGAUGUCUAGGGAUUCUGAGAGGAAGGUCCCCCACACUGGUACUGAGACACGGACCAAACUCCUACGGAAGGCAGCAG
rnacentral:rRNA from 1 species